UACGUAGGGGGCAAGCGUUGUCCGGAAUCAUUGGGCGUAAAGCGCGUGUAGGCGGCCCGGUAAGUCCGCUGUGAAAGUCGGGGGGCUCAACCCUCGAAUGCCGGUGGAUACUGUCGGGCUAGAGUACGGAAGAGGCGAGUGGAAUUCCUGGUGUAGCGGUGAAAUGCGCAGAUAUCAGGAGGAACACCGAUGGCGAAGGCAGCUCGCUGGGACGAUACUGACGCUGAGGCGCGAAAGCGUGGGGAGCAAACAGG
rnacentral:rRNA from 1 species